UUAUUUUAAUUUUUAUAGUUUUUUGAAUCAUUUGUGGUUGAUCUUUGAUUGUUUUUGUGUUUUUGUUCGGGUCUAUGCAUGUUUUUCGGGCGAACACUUGAUUUUUAUUUAAAACGCCUAACUCGCCCAAAAACGCCUGCACUUUUAACGGUGUGAUGCGGUUUAUUGGCACCCUUGUAGGAGGAGUUAUUAGGGUGGUAACAUGUUUUUUCAUUAUCUAGAUGAGUGAGCUUAGAAUGAUUAAGCAUAGAUUGAACUUUGAAAUUUGUCUUAAAAAAGUAACAUAUCAUAUAUAUACCAAAAUGCCAACGUUUUUAGGUUAGUUUGAUGUUUUAAAAAAACAAAUGUUGCCUCAUAAAAUCCAACAUCCAUUUUAAAAAACAGGAAACAUAUUUUUUGUUUUUUUAAGAAAAAAUACAGAAUUUAUGUCAAUAUUUCUUUGUGUAUCAAAACUGCAUUGGCCAAACAUGCCCUUCCUACUGAUUAUAUUUAGCAUCAGUUUAAAAUUCAUGGUAUUGUUGUUUAAAAAAAAAAGGUCAAAUUAAGUCCACUUGAGAUAUUUGCAGUAAGUCUGUCUGCAAUAAAACUGUUAUCCACAUUAAUUAGUCAGCUCAAAAUAUACCAUUAAAAUGUCACCUGCAAACUAACUACAGGCGAUUCCACAUCCACAAAAAUUAGUCCACAUGGAAUUUAAUCCAUGUGAAACAAUUCAGUGAUUCUGUAUUGUUAUUCCAUUAAUAUCUUAGUAUUAACUGAUUAACUGUACAGAGUCAAGCAUGGUAUUCCAAUAUUCCUGCAUAUUACUUGAUGAAAAUCAUAUAGGCCAAGGUACUGAUGCCGCAAAACUUUUUUUUAAAUUUAAUUGGAAUGGAGUUCUCCAAUAGACUGGAUGUAAUACAAUUUUCUCAAUAGAUGUGUAGUCUACAAGUCUGUUUAUUUCUGGUUGUCUUUUUUGUGACCAUGUCAACAGAAUUGAAAGCAUUGUUUGGAUCUUUAAGAUAUGCGUUGCAUUAUAAAGCAAAAAAGAACAAAGAAUCAACAAGCAUGUGCAGUUAGUGAGUGACAUACAUCGCUACUUUUUUGCCACAGUGUUUGCAAGUGUUUUGAUUAUGUGUCAAAACCAAUACAUAUGUCUGCAGGCAAAAUUAUUAACAACAAAUCACCAAGCUCAAAAAAUACAGUCAUUUUCCUGAAAUGUGUACUUGAAAAGCAAUUGGCUAUUAAAAAUUGAUAUCAGACCUAUUUGUAUUCAUGAAAACUGCACAUAGUUGUAAUCUAUGGUAUAAAGCCACUAGUACUAGUGAAACAAAUACUCCACAUAAAUCUUUUUCUUUGAUUCGGCCUAAAAAACAGCAAUGAAAAUGCAAUGUGUACCAACAAAGACUUUUCUGUAUAAAGAAAUUUGUUCAAUUAAGUAAAACGAAUUUCCAUUCAUUACUAUCUGCAUGCAUAUAUAGAUGUUUUUUUUUUAUUUAUAUAUUUCUAGCAUUAAAAAAUAAUUAUUUGAGGAAACUUCCCAAAUGUUUCCAUUUAUUACUAUUUGUAGUAAAUGUUUUUAUACUUCCUCUUUUUUCCAACAUUUAGAAAUAAUUAUUUGAGGAAACUUCUUAACUGUUUGUUAAACUUUCACACAAUUAUUUAAAAAGUUAUACAGACUCAUUUUGAACUAAAGGAAAAUGUUUAUUUACUUUAUACAUUCAUUUUACAUGAAGCAGGCUUAUUAAGAAAUAUUUACGUUAUAUUUAGGUUAAAUCUUGACAUGGAUUUUCUGUUUUGCUUUGCUAAAUUGUAUUUUUGAUUAUAUAGGACGAACAGCCAAUUACUGAUAUGAGAAAUCGUAAGAACAAUAUCAAACGGAGAUCCCUACAACGUGAAUUGAAGAAUGAAAUCCACUGGCUGUUAUUGUUAUUGUUUAUAUGAACAAAGAUUGCAGCAAACUUUAUUGACAUUAAGAUAAACAAUAGGCGAAUGCGUUAGCACAAGCAGAACAAGAUUAACAAAUAUGUUCUUGCUUAAUUAGUUUUCUUAUUGACAUUUGGUGUAGUAUACUUAUAAGAUAUACUUAUAUAUGUAUUAUAAGAUGGAACGUAAAUAUCUACGCAAAUGUU